CCCCGCCCACCCCUCUAAAUAAAUAAAUAAUAAAGAAAAAAAGCCUUGACUCAAAACAGAACUGCUUAGCAAUAGAAACUGCCAAGUCUUCAUCUCGCAUACUCAAAAUUCUUAUUCUCUAAGGCGUAUCUUUGUUUGAAAUAUGUGGAUAAAUUAUAGUGCUUGGUGACAUACUUUUUAUACUUUCAGUUUUUUGUAAUUUGAUAUUCUCUCAUGCUUUCUCUUUAUUUCUUAUAUAUAGAAUCUUUAGAAUAAGCUUCAAGGUUUUACUGGGCAGCAUAGGAAUAAGCUCGAGAUUCUGUCGCCACAAAUUAAGAAACCUAGAGAUAUUCUAAGAGAGCUUCGGGGUAAUAGUAUCCUGCCAGAUUCUGCCUCUGAGUAGAUUGAAUUUAUUGCUCUUUCGCAAAGGACAGGAGACCCAAAGUAUAAACAGAAGGCGGAGAAUGUUAUCUUAGAACUUAAUAGAACUUUUCCAGAUGAUGGUUUGCUUCCAAUACAUAUUAUUCCGGAGAGAGGGACAAUGUCAUACUCCACUUUUCCAGAUGAUGAUAAGAAACCUGAUGUUGGAAGAAUCUGUCCUUGAAGAAAAUGCAGAGCAAGUAGCAACUGAAAAUGCUAAAGAACAAGUUGAACCAGAAGAGGAGCCUAGUUUCUCUUUUGUUAGGAGUUGUUUAACAGAUUUUCCAUUUUUAAUGCUACAAUCUAUUCUUUGUUUUGUUAGGAGUUGACAAGUUUAUUGUCCAUUUUGGAUAUGUAUAUUUUUGGUAGUGUUUUGCUUUUGUCCCUUGUAAUUAAUUGUGAAAUUUAUAGGAAUAUUGAUUAUUUCUUAUGUUUCUGGA